rnacentral:rRNA from 1 species
UUGGUGCAGGUGGUAGGGGAGCAUUCCAUGGACUGAUGAAGGAAGACCUGUGAGGGCUUCUGGAGGGGAUGGAAGAGAGAAUGCAGGUAUAAGUACACGAAAAGAGGGGUGAGAUUCCCCUCCGCCGAAAACCUAAGGUUUCCUGGGUAAAGGUCAUCUGCCCAGGGUAAGUCGGCCCCUAAGGCGAGGACGAAAGUCGUAGUCGAUGGGAAUCCGGUUCAUAUUCCGGAACCUUUUAUAAUUUCGAAGGCAGGACGCAUGAGGUGAAAUCCGGCCGGGCGAUGGUUGUCCCGGUCUAAGCAACAAGCCGUUGACGGUGGCAGGCAAAUCCACCACCGGAGGUAAGUUGUUACAGCGAGUGGAGCUACGGCGAAGCGAAGCGGACGUAAUCACGGUGCCGGGAAAUACUGUCUAAGGCUAGGUUAUAGAAGACCGUACCGUAAUCCGACACAGGUAGGUGGGAUGAGAAAUCUAAGGCGCUCGAGAGAACUCGCGUUAAGGAACUCGGCAAAAUGCACACGUAACUUCGGAAGAAGUGUGGCCCCUGUUUGGUUAAAGAGUGGGGGUGGCACAGAGCAGGCCCAGGCGACUGUUUAUCAAAAACACAGCCAUCUGCGAAUCAGCAAUGAGACGUAUAGGUGGUGACACCUGCCCGGUGCUGGAAGGUUAAGAGGAGCGGUUCGAGGUAACUCAAAGCUGUGAAUCGAAGCCCCAGUAAACGGCGGCCGUAACUAUAACGGUCCUAAGGUAGCGAAAUUCCUUGUCGGGUAAGUUCCGACCCGCACGAAUGGUGUAACGAUUCUGGGCACUGUCUCAACGCGAGACUCGGUGAAAUUUAUAUACCGGUAAAGAAGCCGGUUACCCACAGUUAGACGGAGAGACCCCGUGAACCUUCACCGUAACUUAUUAUUGGAUCUUGGUGUAGCAUGUGUAGCAUAGGUGGGAGACUACGAGACGUGGCCGUUAGGUUGCGUGGAGUCGACCAGUGAAAUACCACCCUUGCUACAUCAGGUUUCUAACCUAAUCCGUGAAUCCGGGUUGGGGACAAUGAUAGGUGGGCGGUUUGACUGGGGCGGUCGCCUCCUAAAGAGUAACGGAGGUGCGCGAAGGUCUCCUCGCGCUGGUUGGAAAUCAGCGUACGAGUGUAAAGGCACAAGGAGGCUUGACUGCGAGACUGACAGGUCGAGCAGGUACGAAAGUAGGUCUUAGUGAUCUGGCGGUAGCGAGUGGAAGCGCCGUCACUUAACGGACAAAAGGUACUCCGGGGAUAACAGGCUGAUUUUCCCCAAGAGUUCACAUCGACGGGAAAGUUUGGCACCUCGAUGUCGGCUCAUCGCAUCCUGGGGCUGAAGCAGGUCCCAAGGGUUUGGCUGUUCGCCAAUUAAAGCGGUACGUGAGCUGGGUUCAGAACGUCGCGAGACAGUUCGGUCCCUAUCUGCUGUGGGCGUUGGAUGAUUGAGAGGAGCUGCAUUUAGUACGAGAGGACCGAUGUGGACGAACCUCUGGUGUACCUGUUGUUCUGCCAAGAGCAAGUGCAGGGUAGCUAAGUUCGGAAGGGAUAACCGCUGAAGGCAUCUAAGUGGGAAGCCCACCUCAAGAUAAAUCAUCCCUGGGGGUUCGACCCCCCUAAAGACUCCAGAGAGACUAUCUGGUUGAUAGGCUGCAGGUCUACGCACGGUAACGUGUUCAGCCGAGCAGUACUAAUAGGUCGUGAGGCUUGACC